rnacentral:rRNA from 1 species
CCUACGGGCGGCAGCAGUAAGGAAUAUUGGUCAAUGGACGCAAGUCUGAACCAGCCAUGCCGCGUGGAGGAUGAAGGUCCUCUGGAUUGUAAACUUCUUUUAUUUGGGAAGAAACUCCCGAUUUCCAUCGGGAUUGACGGUACCAGAUGAAUAAGCACCGGCUAACUCCGUGCCAGCCGCCGCGGUAAUACGGAGGGUGCAAGCGUAAUCGGUUUUCACUGGGUUUAGGGGGUCCGUAGAGUCGGUGGUGAAAUCUCCGGGCUUAACCCGGAAACUGCCAUUGAUACUAUUUGUCUUGAAUACUCUGGAGGUGAGCGGAAUAUGUCAUGUAGCGGUGAAAUGCUUAGAUAUGACAUAGAACACCCAUUGCGAAGGCAGCUCACUACGGAAAUAUUGACGCUGAGGCACGAAAGCGUGGGGAUCAAACAGGAUUAGAUACCCGAGUAGUC